rnacentral:rRNA from 1 species
UACGUAGGUGGCAAGCGUUGUCCGGAAUUAUUGGGCGUAAAGAGCUCGUAGGCGGUCUGUUGCGUCCGCUGUGAAAACUCGGGGCUUAACCCCGAGCCUGCAGUGGAUACGGGCAGACUAGAGGUAGGUAGGGGAGAGUGGAAUUCCCGGUGUAGCGGUGAAAUGCGCAGAUAUCGGGAGGAACACCGGUGGCGAAGGCGGUUCUCUGGGCCUUACCUGACGCUGAGGAGCGAAAGCGUGGGGAGCGAACAGG